rnacentral:lncRNA from 1 species
UGAUUUCUUAUAUGCAUGAUUUGAAAUCUUUGUAAGUCUCUCUCUGAGUCUUGGGUUUUGUUUGGCCAACUAGAUCUAUGAUUCUUGCAAUGGGAGAAGUACUUGAUUUUGGGUUCAUACCGUGUGGUGAGCUUUCCCAGUGACAGAAAGGGAAGCAAGGCACGCAUCGUUUUGUUGCCAUCAAGGGUAACAAGAUGGGCUUUU